GACGAACGCUGGCGGCGUGCUUAACACAUGCAAGUCGAACGGAAAGGCCUCUUUCGGGUGGUACUCGAGUGGCGAACGGGUGAGUAACACGUGAGUAACCUGCCCUUGACUUUGGGAUAACUUCAGGAAACUGGGGCUAAUACCGGAUAGGAGCUCCUGCUGCAUGGUGGGGGUUGGAAAGUUUCGGCGGUUGGGGAUGGACUCGCGGCUUAUCAGCUUGUUGGUGGGGUAGUGGCUUACCAAGGCUUUGACGGGUAGCCGGCCUGGGAGGGUGACCGGCCACAUUGGGACUGGGAUACGGCCCAGACUCCUACGGGAGGCAGCAGUGGGGAAUAUUGCACAAUGGGUGGAAGCCUGAUGCAGCAACGCCGUGUGCGGGAUGACGGGCUUCGGGUUGUAAACCGCUUUCGCUCAUGACGAAGCUUUGUGUGACGGUAGUGGGCAAAGAAGCACCGGCUAACUACGUG
rnacentral:rRNA from 1 species